UCACUCGACAGCUGCUACAGGGGAACGUGUUUGCCGAAUCCGUGUACGGUCGUCAAUCGCGAUUCCUGUAGCAGCUGUCGAGUGA
rnacentral:misc_RNA from 1 species